AUACGUAGGGAGCGAGCGUUGUCCGGAAUUACUGGGUGUAAAGGGAGCGUAGGCGGGAGUGCAAGUCCGCUGUGAAAUACAUGGGCUCAACCAAUGGGCUGCAUUUGAAAAUGCAUUUCUUGAGUGAAGUCGAGGUAAGCGGAAUUCCUGGUGUAGCGGUGAAAUGCGUAGAUAUCAGGAGGAACACCGGUGGCGAAGGCGGCUUACUGGGCUUUUACUGACGCUGAGGCUCGAAAGCGUGGGGAGCAAACAGGAUUAGAUACCCUGGUAGUCCACGCUGUAAACGAUGAUUACUAGGUGUGGGGGGACUGACCCCUUCCGUGCCGCAGUUAACACAAUAAGUAAUCCACCUGGGGAGUACGGCCGCAAGGUUGAAACUCAAAUGAAUUGACGGGG
rnacentral:rRNA from 1 species